UGGAGCUUGAUAGUAUGACAGAGGCAUGCAUACAUAAUUUUGAUGUUACCUUACGUCCUUUCCUCCUGCUCAUGUGGAAUAGUGAUUAGUUUCAAUAGCACCAAUAAAAUAUCUUGUAACCAUGAACUGUCUAAAAUUUUGGUUAAUAACUUGCAUUUAGAAAAUAAAAUAAAUAAGAAGGAAUUAGUUUAAUAUAUAAAACAACAAUAAACCUGAACAGGAGAGGCUUUGAGCUAUUGUUCUAUCAUAAUUUUGGUACUUUACCUGGCAACUAUGUUGAUAACCUGAAAUCCUCUUUAUUUUGUAGGAGACGAGAUUGCUGACCUUAG
rnacentral:misc_RNA from 1 species